CAGUAGCCGCGGGAAUACGAAGGGUGCAAGCGUUACUCGGAAUUACUGGGCGUAAAGCGUGCGUAGGUGGUGGUUUAAGUCCGUUGUGAAAGCCCUGGGCUCAACCUGGGAAUUGCAGUGGAUACUGGGUCACUAGAGUGUGGUAGAGGAUAGUGGAAUUUCCGGUGUAGCAGUGAAAUGCGUAGAGAUCGGAAGGAACAUCUGUGGCGAAGGCGGCUCACUGGACCGGCAUUGACGCUGAGGUGCGAAAGCGUGGGGAGCAAACAGGAUUAGAUACCCCCGUAGUCCCUGUCUCUUAUAC
rnacentral:rRNA from 1 species